UUUCCGUAGGUGAACCUGCGGAAGGAUCAUUCAUAAUAAAGUGUUUUAUGGCACUUUUUAAAAAUCCAUAUCCACCUUGUGUGCAAUGUUAGAUCUCGUCAAUCUUGGCGAGAUUUUUAUACAUCAACUCAUUCUUUAACUAAUUUGUCUGAAAAAUGUUAUGAAUACUUAAUUCAAAAUACAACUUUCAACAACGGAUCUCUUGGCUCUC
rnacentral:misc_RNA from 1 species